GGGGAUAUAGCUCAGUUGGCUAGAGCGAUGGCUUUGCAAGCCAUAGGUCGCGGGUUCGAGUCCCACUAUCUCCA
rnacentral:tRNA from 1 species